rnacentral:snRNA from 1 species
UCGAGAUUCUCCGUUCUCUCUUCU